CGUCCGGGCCGUGACUGGCGCUGAGGUGGAGCACCACCGGGGAGCGGUCUGACGAUCGGGAGGCCAUCGCUCCCGAGAAGGACGUCGACGGCGUCACCA
rnacentral:ncRNA from 22 species